rnacentral:rRNA from 1 species
UGGCAUCGAUGAAGAACGCAGCGAAAUGCGAUACUUGGUGUGAAUUGCAGAAUCCCGUGAACCAUCGAGUCUUUGAACGCAAGUUGCGCCCGAGGCUAUCCGGCCGAGGGCACGCCUGCCUGGGCGUCACGCCUCGCGUCGCUCCGCGCACCCCGUCCCCCGUCCCGGGGAGGCGGCGGCUGCGGAUGCGGAGAUUGGCCCCCCGUGCCUGACGGCACGGCGGGUCGAAGUGCGUACCGCCGGUCGGGACGGACGUGGCGAGUGGUGGACGGACACGUACGGCGCUGAACGUCGCCUCCGCCCCCCGGCCAUGGCUGUACAUGCAAGGAACCCACGCCGAGCAUCCCUCGGAACACGACCCCAGGUCAGGCGGGGCCACCCGCUGAGCUUAA